CCUUGUUUUUCCUACUGUUCAGAGAACAAAGAAAAAACGGCAUCUCUCCGUGUUUUCAAUUUGGUGUUCUCCGUGUUGUCCCUGUGAUAUUUCCUCCGACACGUCUGCAACCUCCAACACGUCUACUACGAGUCUCUCUACCAGCACCAUACCAAGGUGCGAUUCGCUCUUUUUUUUUCUAUCAAAUCCCUCUCAUGGAUGCAAAUCCCAGGUGCUUAUAGCAUUGGAGUGCUUCACUACAAAUUCUUCCUAGACCAUUUGUACAACUUCCAAGGGAAGUAGGCCUGACCCAAAUAUUAACUACACUGUUGGGUUAGGUUCGACUCAAUUGUUUGAAGGUGGGCUGACAAGGAGAGAAGGUGUUGUAUUUGCUUGUUGAGUCUAUCUCCUGCUAGUUUGUGCUUUAUUCUUUGCUUGUAGCAACCCAAAAAGUCUCUUGUAGUGAUCUGAAAUGUACCAAUACUUGAAUCCUUAUUGUUUUUACAUUUUUGUUUUAGCUACUAGAUUACAUCAAUGGUUGUUGAUGCCUUUUCAUUGGAUGAAAUAAAUGAUGUCGAUGAACAUAUUUAUGAGUC